CCAAAGUCUACCUGGCCUGUGCCACACGUGAGCGCAUGCAGGACAACGCCAAGCUGGCCUCCGACCUGCGGGGCAAGCACCAUGCCAUGGUGGCUGUCAAGAUCAUCUCCACUGCCGAGGCCCCUGUGGAGUUCUCCCAAAAGUUCCUGCCUCGUGAAAGAUCAUCACUCAAUGCUACCUAUAGGCACCCGAAUGUGGGAUCUAAAGUGCGAGAAUACCCUCCUAGGUGACCGAGGCCUCCUAAAGCUGACCGGUGAGCCUUUGGCCCAGCCCCUACCCUCUUCCCUAGAUUAUCCUGACUCGUGACCCAGCUGGACCCUCCGCCCUCCCAGGAGGCCCGGCCCCACCCCUGCCCACAGCUGCACUUGCAGAAACCUACACACGCCACGUCUGCCCCCCAGUCAUCCCGCCCGAGCCCUCGCUCUCUCGCCCUCCUGCUCCUCACCUGGGGGACUGCCUGCCCUGUGCCCAACCCCCACCCCGCCCCUUCCCCACUGCAAAGACUUUGGCUUCGCCGGCCAUUUGGGCCUCAAGAGCUUGCUGCCGAGCACCUUCCGUGGCUCCGUGGCCUAUACAGCCCCGGAGAUCCUCGUGAGCAAGAAGUACAAUGGGGAGCAGGCUGACCCGUGGAGCCUGGGCAUCGUCCUUUAUGCCACGGUGACCGGGAAGCUGCCCUUCAAGGAGCACCAGGCCCACCGCAUGCUGCACCUGAUGCACCA